rnacentral:snRNA from 1 species
GUUCUUUCGCGGACAUCCGAUAAAAUUGGAACAGUACAUAGAAGAUUAGCAUGGCCCUGCGCAAGGAUGACAAAUACAAAUAGAGAAAUGGUAAUGAAGUAC